rnacentral:tRNA from 1 species
GCCUGGAUGGCUCUGUUGGUUAAGCAUUUGACUUUAACUCAGGUCUGCGGGUUCAAGCCCCACAUUAGGCU